GCCCGGCUCGGGGUGCACAGGGACGCGGCGGCCAGAUGCUGGGUGAGCCGCACGCCGUCCGCCGCCAGCCGGUCGAUGUUGGGAGUCCUGCGGAGAAAAAAAACACGCGCCUCCUUUUUACUCUUCAAGCGACGUAAAUAAAUAGAAUCUUUAAAAAAAAAAAAAGAACUGGACGUUCCCGUCGCCCACGUGCAGGUGGCGAGGCCCUGCCCCACCCACUGCCACGCACACUCCUCCCCUGCUCGCCUGAUCGUGUCGUUGCCGUAGCAGCCGAUGUCCCCGAUGCCCAGGUCGUCCGCCAGGAGGAGCAGGAUGUUGGGGCGGGAGCCGGAGACGUCCUUCCCAGCGCCGGCGACGGGGUAAACGACAGAUACUCUUAGGUUUGUGACCCAGCAUUUGCCCAGGCACACUGAGGUGAUGGACCUGCCAUGCCUCCAGGGUCAUGCAAUGAAGGAGCCCCAUGGGCCCCUUGGAGAAAGCAGGGGCCCGGCCAGCACCCCCCGGGAAGAGGAGAGAGUGGACACAUCACAGGACGGCCUGAGACCUGGAGGCCCGCUCACCGCCACCCCACACCGUGGGAGCCCCCCCGAGACCCGCGUGCCUGCUGGGAUGGGAGAGGCGGGGGUGCCGAGCUCCUGCUGACCGCGCCCUGGACACCCCCGGGGAACGGGCCCCAUGCGCGUCCCCACGGAUCGCGAGUCUCACGCCCCGUUCGGAGACCCGCGGCCGGCGGCCGGCGCAGGCAGGCCCGUGGUGCCGGGCGCACUCCCAGACGGCCCCCCGGACGGCGCGUGCACGCCGCGGUGGGAGAUUGGCCGCCGCACAGGGUCCCCCCCGCCCGCCGCC